CAAUAUAACCUGGUCUAGCUGCUGCAUCUGUCAUUUGAAAAAAAAUAUUGGAUUCCCUUCUCCUAGCCCGAGCCCAGAAGGCUCUCUUCUGUCCAUUCCCAGCUCAGACUGUAAAUCACAAAAGACACUUUUUUUUUAUUUCACUCAGUUUCAACCCAUCCAUCUCCACCCUCUCCCCUUGUCAUCUAUAGCAAGAACUCAAGAGCCUUGGCUAUCUUUCAGAGCAGAGUCGUGUGGGUUCAUCUGUGUGAGGGUGCCAAAUCCAGAAAACCCUCAACAAAAUCAAAAUCACCAUCCGCUGCGGCUUCGUCGAAGAGACAAUCGGAUGCUCACCGAGAUCCGUCCCAACUUUGACCCCAACGACUCAGAUGAGCUGACCCAGACGGAGUUCAACCCCAACACCACAUACACUCGUAGUUCCUGAGCUUGGUUAAUGACUUCGUUGCCUUGUUCUGAGAUACUCAUCCCCGUCUGUUGGUGGAUUUCAGCAAGCAAGUCAAUCUUCAAGUUGGGAGCAGGAUACACAAUGCAAUUGGGAACAUCAGUGGCACGGGCUUCCAAUGACUCCCUGAGUGGUCUACCUGCCGCAGGUAAUUCUAACGCCAUGUUACUCUCGUUUGCAAACAAAUUCUGCAAAAAAGUGCCCUGCAGUGAACAGUCCCAAGCCCAAAUAACUUCUCUUCGCUGUCUAUGCAGUGUGCGCUCUGGUUCUGGAUCAAAUUGUACAAUCUGUGCAGUUCCUGAUCUGGUCUGGACCAUGCAGUCUGCAAAAUCUGCAACAGAAACAAAAUUGUUCAAUUUCAAUUUUGUAUUUUAUUUUUUAUUUUGGACGAAAAUUAAAAAGUAAAAUAAAAUAAAAUAAAAUAAAUCAGAAAAAGGUUAAACAAAAAUUGUCUAAAAUAGUCCCCGGCAGCGGCGCCAAUUUCUUGAUAGGAUUUUUAGUACUUGUGCAAACAGUGUUAAAAAUCACAUAAAAUAAUUU